GACGAACGCUGGCGGCGUGCCUAAUACAUGCAAGUAGAACGCUGAAGGAGGAGCUUGCUUCUCUGGAUGAGUUGCGAACGGGUGAGUAACGCGUAGGUAACCUGCCUGGUAGCGGGGGAUAACUAUUGGAAACGAUAGCUAAUACCGCAUAAGAGUAGAUGUUGCAUGACAUUUGCUUAAAAGGUGCAAUUGCAUCACUACCAGAUGGACCUGCGUUGUAUUAGCUAGUUGGUGGGGUAACGGCUCACCAAGGCGACGAUACAUAGCCGACCUGAGAGGGUGAUCGGCCAAACUGGGACUGGGACACGGCCCAGACUCCUACGGGAGGCAGCAGUAGGGAAUCUUCGGCAAUGGACGGAAGUCUGACCGAGCAACGCCGCGUGAGUGAAGAAGGUUUUCGGAUCGUAAAGCUCUGUUGUAAGAGAAGAACGAGUGUGAGAGUGGAAAGUUCACACUGUGACGGUAUCUUACCAGAAAGGGACGGCUAACUACGUG
rnacentral:rRNA from 1 species